AGGAGCAACAGCCCUAGUGGCGGGGCCAGCUCUGGAAACCUGGAUUCAGCUCCGGCAGGAACUCCGUCUGCAGGGCCUGGAGGCUCCGGGGCGGG
rfam:Canis lupus familiaris chromosome X, whole genome shotgun sequence.